AUCUUUGUCAGAACUCUAAAGUUUCAGAGAUUCCGCAUGCUGCAUCCCCCAUAUCAUCUAUAUCUAAGGCUGGAUGUAAACUUAGAAAUGGUUCUCAAUAAGCACGCUCGGGCCACCACAACUAAGCCCACUGCCCUGCAAGCAUCCCCAGGUGAUCUUGAUGCAGGUGGUCCGCAGGUCACAGUCUGAAAAACUCUGAGACUAUCACGUCAUCAACUACAAUAAUACUCUCUCCAGCAUUCCAGACCAUGGCUUUCCAACCCCUCUAAGGAUGGGGGUUCACCACCUACAAGUAGUCCAUUUUGUCUUCAAUCAGAUGACUAUUAAAAAGUUCUUUCAUAUACUGGGUUCAAACAGGACUUUCUGAAAUUUCUCGCUAUUGUCACCAGUUCUCUUUUGUGCAGCUCGGAGUAUUUUAGGGCCAAUGGCCUGAGCUACGAAUGAUUGAAAGGGCAACUUAGGUUCAGGUGAUUGCUCAAAAGAUUUGGUCCACAUGACUGCUCACUCACCCGUAAAGGGGCUUAACCUAAGCCAGCUAUAUUGCUCACUGUGCAAGGAUGUUGGGCUGUCUGGGAAUAGCCAGUGGCACUGACUAGGAAAGCCUCCAGAAUACCUUAUAAAGCCCAUGGUGAGGCAGUGAACCUGGGAACCUCACAAGAAAUAGGUUGCUAUGGUUCUGCUUAUUAGAGAGUGGACACCUAGACCUAAUGAAAAUGCUGAAUUAUAAAUCCAGAGUAAGAACUGGAAUACAGUUCUCUAGAAUUACUAGAAACAGCAAAAGAAAUCUGGAUGAAGACAAUACUGGAGCUUUUCUACUUUAGCUGACAAGCUGGCACUGUACUGGAUACUGAGAAAUGAGUAUCAGAACUAGCAUGGUCUCUACUCUCCUGGAAUUAAAAGUCUAGGGAGGGCUGACACAGUCAACUGGUAAAGAAAAAAUAUUAAAUAUAAAUGAAAAUGCAAUACCUUGCAUUUGGGAAACAGCUGUCUUUCUGCUAUAGGGAGAACCCUGGUGCCUCCCCGCAUGGCACAUGUGAUAUUCCCGGGAUGGACAGCAGAGUCAUGAUAAUAGCCACUGUUUGUGGAUGGCCCAAUACAGCCAGCCUCCGUCAUCUCCCCCUUGGCAAAAACAAUCUUUCCAGAGCCAAAUAUUUGAGGAAUCUCCCUUGGCACAUAGCUUCCUGCAUAACCUGACACUAUUCCGGCUGUUCUCUUCCAACCUGCAAAGAUGUAACGUGAAUUGAAUUUCAAGACCACUGGAGGAGGGCAGAAGCAGACCUCCCAUCUCUCCAUGACCUCCUCAGCAGGACAUGUCCUUCAGCCCACUCCCUGACCCACAGCCUGCUUCUACCUGCCCAUGCAUACUCCAGGAGAACAGUGCCUGUUUAUGGUCUCGGCUCUCUAAAAUGUGGAGUGCUCUCAGAGUUGAGAGGGGAAGACACUGGCAUGCCAUGAGCAGGGCUGUCUUGGAGCCAACUCACAGCUGAGCUUCCUAGCUGGUCUUCCAGGGAAGGUGGAGCUUGAAGAAGCUUGACCUCUUCAUAGCACCAGGGUAUAGGACAGUUACGUGUUUGGACAUCACAGCAGGCAUUGGUUGAGUUUCUGUGUAUCCCCAGACCAAUGUGACAAUAGAGACAAAUUAUUCCUAA